UGAGGAAUCUUGCGCAAUGGGGGAAACCCUGACGCAGCGACACCGCGUGCGGGAGGAAGGCCUUCGGGUCGUAAACCGCUUUUCUGGAGGACGAGAGAGGACGGUACUCCAGGAAUAAGUCCCGGCUAACUACGUGCCAGCAGCCGCGGUAAAACGUAGGGGGCGAGCGUUAUCCGGAAUUACUGGGCGUAAAGGGCGUCUAGGCGGCGGCCUAAGUCUCGCGUGAAAGCUCCCGGCUCAACUGGGAGAGGGCGCGGGAAACUGGGUGGCUAGAGACUCGGAGAGGGGUGUGGAAUUCCCGGUGGAGUGGUGAUAUGCGUUGAGAUCGGGAGGAACACCAGUGGCGAAGGCGGCACCCUGGCCGAGGUCUGACGCUGAAGCGCGACAGCGUGGGGAGCAAACGGGAUUAGAUACCCCCGUAGUCC
rnacentral:rRNA from 1 species